GAUCCUGGCUCAGGAUGAACGCUGGCAGCGUGCCUAACACAUGCAAGUCGAACGGAGUUAUUUUGGAAAUCUCUUCGGAGAUGGAAUCUUUAACUUAGUGGCGGACGGGUGAGUAACGCGUGAGCAAUCUGCCUUUAAGAGGGGGAUAACAGUCGGAAACGGCUGCUAAUACCGCAUAAAGCAUCAAAUUCGCAUGUUUUUGAUGCCAAAGGAGCAAUCCGCUUUUAG
rnacentral:rRNA from 1 species